CAGCCGCCGCGGUAAUACAGAGGGUGCGAGCGUUAAUCGGAUUUACUGGGCGUAAAGCGUGCGCAGGCGGUUUUGUAAGACAGAGGUGAAAUCCCCGGGCUCAACCUGGGAACUGCAUUUGUGACUGUAUAGCUAGAGUACGGCAGAGGGGGAUGGAAUUCCGCGUGUAGCAGUGAAAUGCGUAGAUAUGCGGAGGAACACCGAUGGCGAAGGCAAUCCCCUGGGCCUGUACUGACGCUCAUGCACGAAAGCGUGGGGAGCAAACAGGAUUAGAUACCCCCGUAGUCCCUGUCUCUUAUAA
rnacentral:rRNA from 1 species